rnacentral:rRNA from 1 species
CCUACGGGAGGCAGCAGUGGGGAAUAUUGGACAAUGGGGGGAACCCUGAUCCAGCCAUGCCGCGUGUGUGAAGAAGGCCCUCGGGUUGUAAAGCACUUUCAGUGAGGAAGAACGCCUGGUGGUUAAUACCCAUCAGGAAAGACAUCACUCACAGAAGAAGCACCGGCUAACUCCGUGCCAGCAGCCGCGGUAAUACGGAGGGUGCGAGCGUUAAUCGGAAUUACUGGGCGUAAAGCGCGCGUAGGUGGCUUGAUAAGCCGGUUGUGAAAGCCCCGGGCUCAACCUGGGAACGGCAUCCGGAACUGUCAAGCUAGAGUGCAGGAGAGGAAGGUAGAAUUCCCGGUGUAGCGGUGAAAUGCGUAGAGAUCGGGAGGAAUACCAGUGGCGAAGGCGGCCUUCUGGACUGACACUGACACUGAGGUGCGAAAGCGUGGGUAGCAAACAGGAUUAGAUACCCCUUGUAGUC